AACGAACGCUGGCGGCAUGCCUAACACAUGCAAGUCGAACGAGACCUUCGGGUCUAGUGGCGCACGGGUGCGUAACGCGUGGGAACCUGCCCUUAGGUUCGGAAUAACUCCCCGAAAGGGGUGCUAAUACCGGAUAAUGUCUUCGGACCAAAGAUUUAUCGCCUUUGGAUGGGCCCGCGUUGGAUUAGCUAGUUGGUAGGGUAAAAGCCUACCAAGGCGACGAUCCAUAGCUGGUCUGAGAGGAUGAUCAGCCACACUGGGACUGAGACACGGCCCAGAAUCCUACGGGAGGCAGCAGUGGGGAAUAGUGGACAAUGGGCGAAAGCCUGAUCCAGCAAUGCCGGGUGAGUGAUGAAGGCAUUAGGGUUGUAAAGCUCUUUUACCCGGGAUGAUAAUGACAGUACCGGGAGAAUAAGCUCCGGCUAACUACGUG
rnacentral:rRNA from 1 species